CCUACGGGAGGCAGCAGUGAGGAAUAUUGCACAAUGGGGGAAACCCUGAUGCAGCGACGCCGCGUGAAGGAAGACGUAUUUCGGUAUGUAAACUUCUAUCAGCAGGGAAGACAAUGACGGUACCUGCCUCAGAAGCCCCGGCUAACUACGUGCCAGCAGCCGAGGUAAUACGUAGGGGGCAAGCGUUAUCCGGAUUUACUGGGUGUAAAGGGAGCGUAGGCGGCGAUGCAAGUCAGAAGGGAAAGCCCGGGGCUCAACUCCGGGACUGCUUUUGAAACUGUAUGGCUAGAUUGCAGGAGAGGCAAGUGGAAUUACUGGUGUAGCGGUGAAAUGCGUAGAGAUUAGGAGGAACACCAGUGGCGAAGGCGGCUUGCUGGACUGUAAAUGACGCUGAGGCUCGAAAGCGUGGGGAGCAAACAGGAUUAGAUACCCCAGUAGUC
rnacentral:rRNA from 1 species